UACAGAGGUCUCAAGCGUUGUUCGGAUUCAUUGGGCGUAAAGGGUGCGCAGGCGGCCGUGUGUGUGAGGCGUGAAAGCCUGGAGCUUAACUCCAGAAUUGCACCUCAAACUACAUGGCUAGAGCAUUGGAGAGGGUAGCAGAAUUCAUGGUGUAGCAGUGAAAUGCGUAGAUAUCAUGAGGAAUACCAGAGGCGAAGGCGGCUACCUGGACAAUUGCUGACGCUCAGGCACGAAAGCGUGGGGAGCAAAAGGG
rnacentral:rRNA from 1 species